CGUGGUUUUUGAUGUCGCGUUGUUGCUACAUCUCUAUUGCAACUUGCCAUGCUCGGUUGUAGAUGCAAGGACUAUGUGGUAUUGCUACAGGUUUUUGCUGCUAUUGUUUCUCUAUAUGAGUUGAGUGCAGUUUGAGUGCUUGCUUCAGGUGUUGCUCCUGGUUUGGCUCGUUGGUGCUGCUUUGAAAGGCUUGGUUUGGUUAUUGGUGCUGAUUCUAGAGACUGGGUCUGUUUCGGCUUUGCUGCCUGCUUUGAAAGGCUCUAUUGUUUGAGGGCUUGCUUCAGGUGUUGCUGCCUGCUUUGCUCUAAAAUUUAGAACCGCAAUGAGGACCAAAUUAUUAAAUUAUAACACAGGACUAAAAAUGUGAAUAGGCAAAAUGCAGUAUAGUUUGUAUUAUCAAGCAGACCCUCUUACUUAAUUCCCCAAUUUUG
rnacentral:lncRNA from 1 species